CUUAAUGCAGCCUUCGACACAAUAGAUCAUAAGAUUCUGCUACAGAGAUUAGAACAACAUAUAGGAAUUAAAGGAACAGCACUACACUGGUUUAAAUCAUAUUUAUCAGAUAGAUUCCAAUUUGUUAACGUUAACAAUGACUCCUCCAUGCACAUGCAAGUUAAUCAUGGAGUUCCACAAGGUUCUGUCCUUGGACCAAUACUCUUCACCUUAUAUAUGCUCCCCUUAGGCAACAUUAUCAGACAGCACCACAUACAAUUCCACUGCUAUGCAGACGACACCCAAUUGUAUAUUUCCAUGAAGCAUGAUGAAUCUAAUCGCCUAGUUCAACUUCAGGAAUGUCUCAAAGAUAUCAAGGCCUGGAUGACCCAAAAUUUUCUACUUUUAAACUCAGACAAAACUGAGGUUGUUGUAAUUGGCCCUAAACAUCUCAGAGAAACACUGUCUGACCAGAUAGUCACUUUGGAUGGUGUCAGUCUGGCUUCCAGCUCCACUGUGAGGAACCUUGGAGUGUUGUUCGACCAAGACAUGUCAUUUGACCCCCAUAUUAAACUAGUGUCUAGGACGGCUUUCUUCCAUCUGCGCAAUAUUAACAAAAUUAGAAACAUCCUGUCUAAGCAGGAUGCUGAAAAACUAGUCCACGCGUUUGUAACCUCUAGAUUAGAUUACUGCAACUCUCUAUUAGCAGGAUGCUCCAUGAAGACUGUUAAAAGUCUCCAGUUGGUCCAAAAUGCUGCAGCACGAGUGCUGACAGGAACUAGAAGGAGAGAUCAUAUCACUCCUGUCUUAGCUUCCUUACAUUGGCUCCCGGUAAAAUUUAGAAUAGAAUUCAAGAUCCUGCUCCUCACUUUUAAAGCCCUCAACAAUCACGCCCCCUCAUAUAUCAAAGAGCUGAUAACACCUUAUUAUCCAAGUAGAUCACUUCGUUCCCAAAACACAGGCUCUCGUGUGGUUCCAAGAGUCUGUAAGAGUAGAACAGGAGGUAGAGCAUUCAGCUACCAGGCAGACAACUUCUGUGCAUUUACGGUUAAACUUAAAACAUUCCUUUUUGAUAAAGCCUUGCUGGAUCAGGUGAGUCCUGAACCAUCCCUUAAGCUGCUAUAGGUCUAGACUGCAGGGG
rnacentral:misc_RNA from 1 species